CUGGUAGAUUUUUAAUUAAUAGCGAACCACAGAUAUCACACUGGCGACGAGGAUGGCGACGUUUGGGCGAUUGGCAGAAUUCGAUGAAGCCAAAGACAACUAGCGGCCGCACGCCGUGAGAUGAGAUGAGAUGACUUUAUUUAUACAGAUGAUAAAGACAAGAACGUCGAGAAUCCCUGAUAUUGUUACCUUUUGUGAAUAAGAACCAUCCAUUUGAAGUGCCUGAAGUAAUCAGUAUGAAGAUUGAUCAAGGAAGUGCAGGAUACCUCCAGUGGAUUGCAGCAAUAGUCCCUAGAAAUGGAGCAAGCGAUACUGACUUAUGAACGUACAACAGAAAGUGCUACUCUUGCUUGAUAGACAUAGCUACAAGUGUAGUAUCUACUAGUAAGAUCAAUCUUAAUAUCUCAGCGCACACUAUAUCAACCAUGGUCACUAUGAUGAUAAUAUAAAUAUUGUUUUGUUUGCA